GAAAAGAAACUAGAGAGAUUCACCUUGAAAAUAAGCCUUCACAUUAGUGACUUUUUUCUUUUAAAGGACGUUGAACCAGUUUGAACUUCUCUUUAUGUGAGAAUCUCAUUGAGAAUUACAGAAGAAAUUAAGCAUUUUCCAUGAAAGAGAGGUCUGUAACAAUGAGCCUCAGAACUUCUAAUAAGCAGCAUAAUUGCCAUGUGCAGAAGGCUACAUUAGACAACAGCAAUUUCUCUCUGAAGAUUCACCAUCUCCGGAUCAGUUAGUGACUCCUACUGUCCAUUUCACAGAUCUUCAACUCUUGUUCUUUCAUUUAAACAUAUGAGUCUAAGCUUAGACAUUAUGAUGCUUUAAAUUCAAAAACUGUGUUGAGAUAAAGCACUCAUUUAAAAAAUUUGCUAAUAGCUAAAGGAUAACCAAAGCAAAACACACACAGGGUAACAUAAAUCUCAAAUAUAUGUUUUGCAAUGUAUUUUUCUCAUUUCUGGUCUAUUGUUUAAUACAUGGCUUCCUCCUACCAUACCCCUACUUCCACUAGGCAGAGUAUUUAUUUAUUCUCUACCAUGCACAAGUCUUUGGCUUCAAAGUCAUAGGUUUCCAUGCUUACAGUUCUUCAUUGGUAUUCUUAUUUUCCUCAGGUAACUGAUAUGAAAGUCGACUUCCCUGUCUUGCUCAAACCUCUGAGAUCCUCAUAGGCUAGAUUAUCAUUAAUAUAAUAUGGAAACCUCAAGAUUUAUAUUAAACACAAAUACUCUUGGUAACUGGAAGGGAGAAAGUGAAAGGGAGGAAUCUUGGAAGAGAAUUUUGUUUCAUUACCUUUUCUUUCAAUAUUGGGGUAGCUUUUACGGUCACAAUGUAGCCUUUGGGGAAAAAUGUCAGAGACAGUUGAGGUUUUAAGGCUUUAUCAAUGUUUUGUAAUGUGAUCUGGAGAUGAUAGAGCUUAAAUGUAAUAUGGUAAGCCACUGUUUCAGCAUAUUUCAACCAUGACUAAAAAGAGAAUUAUGGCUAUACCUGUAAAAAAGAACAGAUGAGAGAUAAAGAAAUCUUGAAGGAUUCAGGUGACUAAUGAAGGAAAUCUCUUAGUCUACAUUCGUCUGAUAGUCUUAAAAUAUGGUAUAGAAUGUGGAGAAAAGUCCGUAACUAUUGAGCCAUAAGAGUGUAAUACUUGGGGACUCGGGACGAGCUGGGGAUGUUUAGCAGGUACAAAAUAGAAAGAAUGAGUAAGACUUACUAUUCAAUAGCACCAUAGGGUGGCCAUAGUCAAUAAUAAUUUAAUUAUACAAUAAAUUCUACAAUUUUAAAAUAACUUAAAGAAUGUAAUUGAAUUGUUUGUAAUUCAAAGGAUAAAUGCUUAAGGGGAUGAAUAACUCAUUCUCCUUAAUGUGCUCAUUUCAUAUUGCAAACCUGUAUCAAAACAUCUCGUG